ACAUGCCUUGAGGUGGGGGACAACAGUUGGAAACGACUGCUAAUACCGCAUAAUGUCUACGGACCAAAGGGGGCUUCGGCUCUCGCCUUUAGAUUGGCCCAAGUGGGAUUAGCUAGUUGGUGAGGUAAUGGCUCACCAAGGCGACGAUCCCUAGCUGGUUUGAGAGGAUGAUCAGCCACACUGGGACUGAGACACGGCCCAGACUCCUACGGGAGGCAGCAGUGGGGAAUAUUGCACAAUGGGCGCAAGCCUGAUGCAGCCAUGCCGCGUGUGUGAAGAAGGCCUUCGGGUUGUAAAGCACUUUCAGUCAGGAGGAAAGGUUAGUAGUUAAUACCUGCUAGCUGUGACGUUACUGACAGAAGAAGCACCGGCUAACUCCGUGCCAGCAGCCGCGGUAAUACGGAGGGUGCGAGCGUUAAUCGGAAUUACUGGGCGUAAAGC
rnacentral:rRNA from 1 species